rnacentral:rRNA from 1 species
CUAAUACAUGCAAGUCGAACGAAGAGCUCAACGGUAGCAUACACUGAUUACUCUUAGUGGCGAACGGGUGAGUAACGCGUUGGUGACCUAGCCCAAAGAGAGGGAGAGGAGUUCGAAAGGACUGCUAAUACCUCAUGUGAUCAUUUGGUUUAGAUGCCUUAUGAUUAGAGGAGCUUGCUCCGCUUUGGGAGGGGCCUGCGUACCAUCAGCUAGUUGGUAGGGUAAUGGCCUACCAAUGCGAUGACGGGUAGGGGACCUGAGAGGGUGGCCCCCCACAAUGGAACUGAAACACGGUCCAUACACCUACGGGUGGCAGCAGUAGGGAAUAUUGGUAAUGUGCGAAAGCGCGAACCAGCAACGCCGCGUGUGCGAUGACGGCCUUCGGGUUGUAAAGCACUUUUCGGGAGGAAGAGGAAGGACUGUACUCCCGGAAUAAGUCUCGGCUAACUACGUGCCAGCAGCCGCGGUAAUACGUAGGAGGCAAACGUUAUCCGGAUUUACUGGGCGUAAAGCGCGUGUAGGCUGUUCAAUAAGUUGGGCGUGAAAGCUCCCGGCUCAACUGGGAGAGGUCGUUCAAUACUGUUGGACUAGAGGAUGGUAGAGGGAGGUGGAAUUCCGGGUGUAGUGGUGAAAUGCGCAGAUAUCCGGAGGAACACCAGUGGCGAAAGCGGCCUCCUGGACCAUUCCUGACGCUCAGACGCGAAAGCUAGGGUAGCAAACGGGAUUAGAGACCCCGGUAGUCCUAGCUGUAAACGAUGUGAACUUGGCGUCGGUGGGAUUAAAUCCAUCGGUGUCGGAGCUAACGCGAUAAGUUCACCGCCUGAGGACUACGGCCGCAAGGUUAAAACUCAAAGGAAUUGACGGGGACCCGCACAAGCAGCGGAGCGUGUGGUUUAAUUCGUUGCUACACGAAGAACCUUACCUGGGUUUGACAUGUUAGUUGUAGGAAGCUGAAAAGCGACCGACCCCUCGGGGAGCUAUCACAGGUGUUGCAUGGCUGUCGUCAGCUCGUGUCGUGAGAUGUUCGGUUAAGUCCGCUAACGAGCGCAACCCUCGCCGUAUGUUAUAUGUGUCAUACGGGACUGCCGGUAAUAAGCCGGAGCGACGGUGGGGAUGAUGUCAAGUCAGCAUGACCUUUAUAUCCAGGGCUACACACACGCUACAAUGGUCUGUACAAUGGGUAGCCAAGUCGC